UGGUUGCUCCUGUUUUCGUGUCAGGGGAGUGGUUCAGCUAAGGGAAAGGUGAUUGAACUAUUACCAGAGGGAAAAAACACCUAUUAAAAAUGAAAUAAUUCAAAAUACUGGAAGUGGCUCCUUUAUGUGAGCAUACCUGUUUGAUUUGGCCACUGACCAGUCCUUAGCAAUCCCUUUUGUUCUCUGUUGCUGACAAACCCAUGUUCAAGACCUGUGGGGUGAUUCCUGGCCUGAAGGGAAGCAGAGCUGGAGAAGAGUCCUUGUCUAUACUGGCACAAAGAUCUGUUUUGUGAUGGCCACUCCCAGAGUAAUCAACCUGGAGGAAAUUCAUAUCUGAACUGAUGAAGCUCAGUUUUAUUCUCAGCUUCUCAUUGGAAAUAUGGAAGUUCUUCUUCUAUCUGCAUUUUUCCCAAGGUGUUCCUAAUUAAAGUUCUGUGGUCAAUUCUG